CUGGUUGAUCCUGCCAGUAGUCAUACGCUCGUCUCAAAGAUUAAGCCAUGCAUGUCUAAGUAAAAGCAACUUUUACCGUGAAACUGCGAAUGGCUCAUUAUAUCAGUACUAAUUUAUUUGAUAGUCCCUUACUACUUGGAUAACCGUAGUAAUUCUAGAGCUAAUACAUGCACUACAGUCCCUGACGCUUGCGGAGGGGAUGUAUUUAUUAGAUCGAAGCCAAUGCGGUGCUUCGGCGCCGGUAUUGUGGUGAGUCAUGAUAAGUUUGCGAAUCGCAUGCCUUCUGGGCGGCGAUGUUUCAUUCAAGUUUCUGCCCUAUCAGCUUUGGAUGGUAGGGUAUUGGCCUACCAUGGCUUUAACGGGUAACGGAGAAUUGGGGUUCGAUUCCGGAGAGGGAGCCUGAGAGAUGGCUACCACAUCCAAGGAAGGCAGCAGGCGCGUAAAUUACCCAAUCCUGACUCAGGGAGGUAGUGACAAUAAAUAACAAUGCCGGGCUUUUCAAGUCUGGCAAUUGGAAUGAGAACAAUUUAAAUCCCUUAUCGAGGAUCAAUUGGAGGGCAAGUCUGGU
rnacentral:rRNA from 1 species